rnacentral:ncRNA from 1 species
UCGAGUCCCUGAAUGGGUCGCCCCGAGAUAGGGAUGGUGGCUCCGUAGAGCAGUGCGGUUCUUGCGCUGUUCGGUGCGCUCGCGUCGGCCCUUGAAAAUCCGAGUGAGGGAGUGUGAUUUUCGUGCCGGACCGUACCCACAUCCGCAGCAGGUCUCCAAGGUGAACAGCCUCUAGUCGAUGGACCAAUGUAGGUAAGGGAAGUCGGCAAAACGGAUCCGUAACCUUGGGAUAAGGAUUGGCUCUGAGGACUGAGCCGGUCGGGCUGGGGACCUGAAGCAGGAACGGCACUGCACCGGGACUGGGCGGGGCUCGCCGUUCACGCGGCGCGGCCAAGCCCGGACCAGCGUCGGGACCUUCCUGUGGAAAGCCUCAGCUGCGCGGCGUCUGAGGGCUUCGUGCCCAAAGUGCUAUGCUUCGGCCGGCAAAAAACAGUCAACUCAGAACUGGCACGGACCGGGGGAAUCCGACUGUCUAAUUAAAACAAAGCAUUGCGAUGGCCGCUGGUCGGUGUUGACGCAAUGUGAUUUCUGCCCAGUGCUCUGAAUGUCAACGUGAAGAGAUUCAUCAAAGCGCGGGUAAACGGCGGGAGUAACUAUGACUCUCUUGUGUGGCUUUCAAAGUAAAUGGAGAACCACUUCGAGUGAUUGAUUGCUCAGGUUCAUGGCGCUAUCUGGGGGUCGAAGUUAACACAUCAGGGGAGAUAUGGU